UAGGGAAUCUUCGGCAAUGGGGGGAACCCUGACCGAGCAACGCCGCGCGAGUGAAGAAGGUUUUCGGAUCGUAAAGCUCUGUUGUUAAGGAAGAACGAGUGUGAGAAUGGAAAGUUCAUGCUGUGACGGUACUUAACCAGAAAGGGACGGCUAACUACGUUCCAGCCGCCGCGGUAAUACGUAGGUCCCGAGCGUUUUCCGGAUUUAUUUGGCGUAAAGCGAGCGCAGGCGGUUAGAAAAGUCUGAAGUGAAAGGCAGUGGCUCAACCAUUGUAGGCUUUGGAAACUGUUUAACUUGAGUGCAGAAGGGGAGAGUGGAUGUCCAUGUGUAGCGGUGAAAUGCGUAGAUAUAUGGAGGAACACCGGUGGCGAAAGCGGCUCUCUGGUCUGUAACUGACGCGGAGGCUCGAAAGCGUGGGGAGCGAACAGG
rnacentral:rRNA from 1 species